GACGAACGCUGGCGGCGUGCUUAACACAUGCAAGUCGAACGGUAAGGCCCUGCUUUUUUGGUGUGCUCGAGUGGCGAACGGGUGAGUAACACUUGAGUAACCUGCCCUUGACUUUGGGAUAACUUCAGGAAACUGGGGCUAGUACCGGAUAGGAACUCCUUCUUCAGUGUGGGGGUAGGAAAGUGUCGGGGGUUGUGGCUGGACUCGCGGCUUAUCAGCUUGUUGGUGGGGUAGUGGCUUACCAAGGCUUUGACGGGUAGCCGGCCUGAGAGGGUGACCGGACACAUUGGGACUGCGAUACGGCCCAGACUCCUACGGGAGGCAGCAGUGGGAAAUAUUGCACAAUGGGCGGAAGCGUGAUGCAGAAACGCCGCGUGAGGGAUGACGGCCUUCGGGGUGUAAACCGCUUUAGCCUGUGACGAAGCGUGAGUGACGGUAAUGGGUAAAGAAGCACCGGCUAACUACGUG
rnacentral:rRNA from 1 species